rnacentral:rRNA from 1 species
GAUGAACGCUGGCGGCGUGCCUAAUACAUGCAAGUCGAGCGAACGGACGAGAAGCUUGCUUCUCUGAUGUUAGCGGCGGACGGGUGAGUAACACGUGGAUAACCUACCUAUAAGACUGUGAUAACUUCGGGAAACCGGAGCUAAUACCGGAUAAUAUUUUGAACCGCAUGGUUCAAAAGUUAAAGACGGUCUUGCUGUCACUUAUAGAUGGAUCCGCGCUGCAUUAGCUAGUUGGUAAGGUAACGGCUUACCAAGGCAACGAUGCAUAGCCGACCUGAGAGGGUGAACGGCCACACUGGAACUGAGACACGGUCCAGACUACUACGGGAGGAAGCAGUAGGGAAUCUUCCGCAAUGGGCGAAAUCCUGACGGAGCAACGAAGCGUGAGUAAUGAAGGUCUUCGGAUCGUAAAACUCUGUUAUUAGGGAAGAAAAUAUGUGUAAGUAACUGUGCACAUCUUGACGGUACCUAAUCAGAAAGCCACAGCUAACUAAGUA